UGGCUGGAGAGCUAAGAGCCAGCCAAUAUAGUAAGUAGUAGUUGUAUGUAGUUGUACUACAACUACUGCCUCCACUGACUGCCUGAUGUGCGGCGGUGCUAUGCUUUGCUGCUAUUCUAUACUCAGUGCUGUGGUGAGCUGUGCGGUGUUCAGAGUUUUCUAUACACUUUUUAAACUUUUUUAUUUUGUAUAUUUUAUACACUUUUUUGUUCAUUCGUCUUGACUGCAUGGCCAAGAUAUUGUGUGUUGCUUUUUACAGUGCCUCAGUUACGUGUCGCAUUUGGUUGGGUUCACAACUCAACUUGUAUCGAAAAAAUACAAUAAAAAAAUAAAACGACAAUUUUUUUCCAAACGACGUGUGUCAAGAUACAAAACAGAGAAAAAAAAACACCAUAAGAAGCAAAAACAAACAAAAAUUAUAUUAGUGAAAUGAAAAAAUACUAAACGUACACAAACAAAAUUUUUCAAAAUCGUUAAACAAAUUCAUCAUCUCUACUCACCUGCCAGACAGACAGACAGCCAGCCAUACAACAACUAUUAACAAAAAAAGUGACAAAUCAAAAAAAAAAUCGAAAAAAGCUCAUUAUAUAACGUUGGAAACCUAUUACAUAAUAUGAAUAAAACUGCAGAAAAUAACAUCAUCGUUUAAACAUCAACUAAAACAAUAAUCAUUGUCAUUCUACUGCUCUCAUAUCUACAAAAUUAAAGAAUUUUUUUGUGUGCUAAAAUUUAGUUAGUUUUAAAAUCAAUGAAUGAAUGAAUUAAUGAAUAAACGUACGAAAAAUGGGUGACGGACUGAAUGGCCAAGAAAUCACGUAACGUUGAGUUAAAGUGCUUAAAAUACAUGACAGCGAUGUCAAUGCUGAUAUGAUGGUUGUUAUUAAUUUUUGUUUUUCAUUCUUGCACUUUUUCCACGAAAAGCCCAAAGCUUGUUUAACCAAAAUCCAAAUAAUUUAUUAAAUUAUUCAAAUAAAUUAAUGUUUAAAGUGGGGCAAAGUCAUCAAAAAAAUAAUAUUCCAGAAAAAGUUUUAAGAAAAUGUGUUAAAUAGUCUUUAUUAUUUUUCAUUUAAAUCCUAGAAAUACUUGUUUUUCAAAUUCUGAAAAGAAAUUUCUACACACAUGCAUUUUACUUUGGUGUAUGAGCUUGUAUAUAUGUCUGUAUGUAUGUAUCAUCUGUAAUAAAAUAAUUAAAUAAAAAUAUAUAAAAUAAUUAAAUAAAAUAAAAAAAAUUAAAUGUUGACUGGUAAAGUUUUCAAACCGUAGCCGAAUGCGAAUCCAAAUUACAUGCAAAAUAAAUGGGUACAAUGAGGCCAAAUAAAUACGAUGUUACUACAGCUUAUGGUCUAUGCCAAGAUUAUUUACCUCCUGAUGGUGAGUACUGAAAUGAAAUUAAAAAAUUUUGUUAAAUAUUUUUGCAAUUUAAACAUUGCCAACUGGUAAAAAAU